CAGUCGCCACGGGAAUACGUAGGUGGCAAGCGUUGUCCGGAAUUAUUGGGCGUAAAGGGCUCGCAGGCGGUUUCUUAAGUCUGAUGUGAAAGCCCCCGGCUCAACCGGGGAGGGUCAUUGGAAACUGGGAAACUUGAGUGCAGAAGAGGAGAGUGGAAUUCCACGUGUAGCGGUGAAAUGCGUAGAGAUGUGGAGGAACACCAGUGGCGAAGGCGACUCUCUGGUCUGUAACUGACGCUGAGGAGCGAAAGCGUGGGGAGCGAACAGGAUUAGAUACCCGCGUAGUCCCUGUCUCUUAUAU
rnacentral:rRNA from 1 species